rnacentral:rRNA from 1 species
AAGGCCCUUCGGGGUACACGAGCGGCGAACGGGUGAGUAACACGUGGGUAACCUGCCCUGUACUCUGGGAUAAGCCUUGAAAACCAGGUCUAAUACCGAAUACGACCUUUUGUCGCAUGGUGGAAGGUGGAAAGUUCCGGCGGUAUGGGAUGGACCCGCGGCCUAUCAGCUUGUUGGUGGGGUAAUGGCCUACCAAGGCGACGACGGGUAGCUGGCCUGAGAGGGUGACCUGCCACACUGGGACUGAGACACGGCCCACACCCCUCCGGGAAGGCAACCCUGGGGGCAAUAUUCCACACUGGGCGAACGCCUGAUGCAUCGACGCCGCCGGUGAGGGAUGACGGCCUUCGGGUUGUAAACCUCUUUCAGCAGGGACGAAGCGCAAGUGACGGUACCUGCAGAAGAAGCACCGGCUAACUACGUGCCAGCAGCCGCGGUAAUACGUAGGGUGCGAGCGUUGUCCGGAAUUAUUGGGCGUAAAGAGCUCGUAGGCGGUUUGUCGCGUCGGCCGUGAAAACUUGGGGCUUAACCCCGAGCCCGCGGUCGAUACGGGCAGACUUGAGUUCGGCAGGGGAGACUGGAAUUCCUGGUGUAGCGGUGAAAUGCGCAGAUAUCAGGAGGAACACCGGUGGCGAAGGCCCGUCUCUGGGCCGAUACUGACGCUGAGGAGCGAAAGCGUGGGGAGCGAACAGGAUUAGAUACCCUGGUAGUCCACGCCGUAAACGGUGGGUGCUAGGUGUGGGGGACUUCCACYUCCUCCGUGCCGCAGCUAACGCAUUAAGCACCCCGCCUGGGGAGUACGGCCGCAAGGCUAAAACUCAAAGGAAUUGACGGGGGCCCGCACAAGCGGCGGAGCAUGUGGAUUAAUUCGAUGCAACGCGAAGAACCUUACCUGGGCUUGACAUGCACUGAAAACCGGUAGAGAUAUCGGCCCCCUUGUGGCCGGGGUACAAGUGGUGCAUGGCCGUCGUCAGCUCGUGUCGUGAGAUGUUGGGUUAAGUCCCGCAACGAGCGCAACCCUCGUUCCAUGUUGCCAGCACGUUUAUGGUGGGGACUCAUGGGAGACUGCCGGGGUCAACUCGGAGGAAGGUGGGGAUGACGUCAAGUCAUCAUGCCCCUUAUGUCCAGGGCUUCACACCUGCUACAAUGGCCGGUACAAAGGGCUGCUAAGCCGUGAGGUGGAGCGAAUCCCAUAAAGCCGGUCUCAGUUCGGAUCGGGGUCUGCAACUCGACCCCGUGAAGUCGGAGUCGCUAGUAAUCGCAGAUCAGCAACGGUGCGGUGAAUACGUUCCCGGGCCUUGUACACACCGCCCGUCACGUCACGAAAGUCRGUAACACCCGAA